rnacentral:rRNA from 1 species
GACGAACGCUGGCGGCGUGCUUAACACAUGCAAGUCGAACGGAAAGGCCCUGCUUUUGUGGGGUGCUCGAGUGGCGAACGGGUGAGUAACACGUGAGUAACCUGCCCUUGACUUUGGGAUAACUUCAGGAAACUGGGGCUAAUACCGGAUAGGAGCUCCUGCUGCAUGGUGGGGGUUGGAAAGUUUCGGCGGUUGGGGAUGGACUCGCGGCUUAUCAGCUUGUUGGUGGGGUAGUGGCUUACCAAGGCUUUGACGGGUAGCCGGCCUGAGAGGGUGACCGGCCACAUUGGGACUGAGAUACGGCCCAGACUCCUACGGGAGGCAGCAGUGGGGAAUAUUGCACAAUGGGCGGAAGCCUGAUGCAGCAACGCCGCGUGCGGGAUGACGGCCUUCGGGUUGUAAACCGCUUUCGCCUGUGACGAAGCGUGAGUGACGGUAAUGGGUAAAGAAGCACCGGCUAACUACGUGCCAGCAGCCGCGGUGAUACGUAGGGUGCGAGCGUUGUCCGGAUUUAUUGGGCGUAAAGGGCUCGUAGGUGGUUGAUCGCGUCGGAAGUGUAAUCUUGGGGCUUAACCCUGAGCGUGCUUUCGAUACGGGUUGACUUGAGGAAGGUAGGGGAGAAUGGAAUUCCUGGUGGAGCGGUGGAAUGCGCAGACAUCAGGAGGAACACCAGUGGCGAAGGCGGUUCCCUGGGCCUUUCCUGACGCUGAGGAGCGAAAGCGUGGGGAGCGAACAGGCUUAGAUACCCUGGUAGUCCACGCUGUAAACGGUGGGUACUAGGUGUGGGGUCCAUUCCACGGGUUCCGUGCCGUAGCUAACGCUUUAAGUACCCCGCCUGGGGAGUACGGCCGCAAGGCUAAAACUCAAAGGAAUUGACGGGGCCCCGCACAAGCGGCGGAGCAUGCGGAUUAAUUCGAUGCAACGCGUAGAACCUUACCUGGGUUUGACAUGGAUCGGGAGUGCUCAGAGAUGGGUGUGCCUCUUUUGGGGUCGGUUCACAGGUGGUGCAUGGCUGUCGUCAGCUCGUGUCGUGAGAUGUUGGGUUAAGUCCCGCAACGAGCGCAACCCUUGUUCACUGUUGCCAGCACGUUAUGGUGGGGACUCAGUGGAGACCGCCGGGAUCAACUCGGAGGAAGGUGGGGAUGACGUCAAGUCAUCAUGCCCCUUAUGUCCAGGGCUUCACGCAUGCUACAAUGGCUGGUACAGAGAGUGGCGAGCCUGUGAGGGUGAGCGAAUCUCGGAAAGCCGGUCUCAGUUCGGAUUGGGGUCUGCAACUCGACCUCAUGAAGUCGGAGUCGCUAGUAAUCGCAGAUCAGCAACGCUGCGGUGAAUACGUUCCCGGGGCU